AUCGACUCCAGGACUUAUACUUUGAAAGCCUAGUACUUAUUCUAUCGCAGUGGCGUGACUAGAGUGUUUGUGAUGCCCCAGGCAGUUCUUGAGUUUGUCACCCCUCGUUCCAUCCCCGCUAACCAUUCAAGCUUCAACAACACACCCAAAAGUGUCGUCCCCAUAAAAACGUCGCCCGAAAGAGACUUCCUGCCCUCCACAUUGCGCUACCUGCAGUGAAGUCGUCCUUUUUGGAAACCGCUGGUUUCCAGUUUAAGGUUACCCUCUUCCUUCCUUCCUUCCUUCCUCCUCUCCCUUGGUCUAUGAGACCCUGUAAAGGUUCAUAGGAUUCUGCCUUUCCACUUGACUAAACGAUAAAAAGAAAUGCAACUUUUU